rnacentral:misc_RNA from 1 species
GAUGAAGAACGUAGCGAAAUGCGAUAAGUAGUGUGAAUUGCAGAAUUCAGUGAAUCAUCGAAUCUUUGAACGCACAUUGCGCCCCUUGGUAUUCCAUGGGGCAUGCCUGUUCGAGCGUCAUUUGUACCUUCAUGCUUUGCUUGGUGUUGGGUGUUUGUCUCGCCUUUGCGUGUAGACUCGCCUUAAAAUAAUUGGCAGCCGGCGUAUUGAUUUCGGAGCGCAGUACAUCUCGCGCUUUGCACUCAUAACGACAGCGUCCAAAAGUACAUUUUACACUCUUGACCUCGGAUCAGGUAGGGAUACCCGCUGAACUUAAGCAUAUCAAUAAGCGGAGGA